rnacentral:rRNA from 1 species
UGGAUUGGUGCCUUCGGGAACUGUGAGACAGGUGCUGCAUGGCUGUCGUCAGCUCGUGUUGUGAAAUGUUGGGUUAAGUCCCGCAACGAGCGCAACCCUUAUCCUUUGUUGCCAGCGAUUCGGUCGGGAACUCAAAGGAGACUGCCAGUGAUAAACUGGAGGAAGGUGGGGAUGACGUCAAGUCAUCAUGGCCCUUACGACCAGGGCUACACACGUGCUACAAUGGCGCAUACAAAGAGAAGCGACCUCGCGAGAGCAAGCGGACCUCAUAAAGUGCGUCGUAGUCCGGAUUGGAGUCUGCAACUCGACUCCAUGAAGUCGGAAUCGCUAGUAAUCGUGGAUCAGAAUGCCACGGUGAAUACGUUCCCGGGCCUUGUACACACCGCCCGUCACACCAUGGGAGUGGGUUGCAAAAGAAGUAGGUAGCUUAACCUUCGGGAGGGCGCUUACCACUUUGUGAUUCAUGACUGGGGUGAAGUCGUAACAAGGUAACCGUAGGGGAACCUGCGGUUGGAUCACCUCCUUACCUGAAAGAAGC